CUGAAAUACUGUUAUAUUGUUUUCCUGCGAGUUAAAGUGCUGAGUAAGAACGAGAUAGAUAUAUGUUUAUGUAUGUGCCUUCAAAAUGGGUGCUAUUUAUAUAAGCAAUUGUACGUAUAGAACAAUAUGUCGUGUCCCUACUAUAUAGGUCUAUGUCGUGUCCCUACUAUAUAGGUCUACUAUGGAAUGACACCACAGUGACAUUGACAAUGUACAGCAUACGAAAAUCAUAAUCAAAUCUGCUUCCGAACUUUUUGGCGGGAGCGUGAGGCACCAAGCUGUAUAAAUAGUUAAAUUUUGUCGUGGUUUAGGUUUUUUCAGAUUUAUUAUCUAUUUAGUAUCUGUGAAAGUGCUUAAAUAUGGCUUCAAAAAGUCCACUGGAAAAGUCUCGCUGUAAGUGUCUAAUACUGGUACCUUAAUCAUAAUUAACUUUAUUAGUACCUGUGAAAAUAUAUUAUUAACAAAUUUAUCAAAAUGGCUGAACGUGGCUUCCAAAAAGUCCUUUGAACUUUCAAUAAACAAACAACAUUUACUGAAA